AAGACGAAACGCGAACCCGAGCAAACUUGUGUGUUUGUGUGUGUUGUGUUGUGCCAUCACACUAACACAAACAGUUUGCAAAAUAGAGUUGAAGCAAGCAGAGCAGAUCAAAUGCACGAAGAGGAACAGAAUUAGAAUAGAAUAGAAGAAACAAUGGCAAGAGAGUUGAGCCCUGGCUUAAAGAUUCUCUGGGUCUGGACCCUUGGCACCGCCGCUGUACUGGUUACAAGUGUGGUGAGGACGAGGGUGAGAGACAUGGAGAACCUUAUGAAUGCUGAGCAGCAGCAGCCACAACAACAACAAGACACCACUGCCACCGACACAGAUACACUCUUGGUGGACACUUCGCCUCAGUCCUCUGAACUGAUUCGAGAAGAGAAACCAUAGGUAAGCAAGGGCAGAAGGCCCCCUAGCCCCUAAAAACGAAGUCUAGCAGUGAAGGCCAUCUCAGAUAAGGAGUGGGCUCCAUGAGCUUGGGCAAGUCCAAAGGCAAGAUUUACUUGGGCAAGCUGACUUAAUGCUGACGUCAUUGUGACGUUAGCAACCAAUUUAAAUAAUUAAAAAUAAAAAAAAAGGGAGAAAAGAAACCAAAAAUUUCAGAAGUUUUUUUUAAUAAUAAAUACCUAGUCAUAUUCUUCAUUUCCCAUACCAAAAUUCUAUACAAAUUCAUCUUUUCAUAUCUCAUGUGAAUAGUAGUUGUCUUUCGGUUGUCAUGACAAUGAGUAGAAAACCAACAAACAAAUUACAAGGAUAAGCAUUAUUUAUAAGAAUAGUAACAGCCCUUACCUCCUCUUGUCUUUUACCAUAACAAAUUGAUGGACAAACAGACCCCACAAUCGUUGCUUUCCUUUUGUUUUAGGUCACAUGAAUUUCAUUUUUUUAAAGUUUUGUUUCGGGUCACAUGAUUUUACCAUCCUUCAAAGUGAAAGUGAUUGAGGUGGCUGACGUCGAUGAUAAAAAAGGGCCCAAAUGGGCCAGAAAAAGUAAGAAGAAAAUUAGAGGGGCGGUGGUCAACGGGCCUUUUUCAUCUAGUUGGCAAUUUAAUGUUCUGCCACAAUCUUUUGAUUAGAUGUUCGACUACUGAUAAUAUAUACUUUGAUUUGAAGAAAGGGCAGC